rnacentral:rRNA from 1 species
UACGUAGGGUGCAAGCGUUAAUCGGAUUUAUUGGGCGUAAAGGGCGCGUAGACGGGAAGAUAAGUCAGAUGUGAAAUCCCGGGGCUCAACCCCGGAACAGCAUUUGAAACUGCUUUUCUAGAGGAUGGACGGAGAAAACGGAAUUCCACAAGUAGCGGUGAAAUGCGUAGAUAUGUGGAAGAACACCAGUGGCGAAGGCGGUUUUCUAGUUUAUUCCUGACGUUGAGGCGCGAAAGCUAGGGGAGCAAACAGG